GGCCUGGCGGGAUGGUCCGCCUUACGGUGUGUACUGUCCGGCCGGGCCUUACCUCUUGGUGAGGCCGCAUGCCCUUCACUGGGUGUGUGGUGGAACCAGGAACUUUACCUUGAGAAAAUUAGAGUGUUCAAAGCAGGCAUACGCCCGAAUACAUUAGCAUGGAAUAAUAGAAUAGGACGU
rnacentral:rRNA from 1 species